rnacentral:lncRNA from 1 species
AUGAUGAUGAUGCUUUGUUAGUCUUAUCUAAAUACAAAGCUCAACAACUAAAGAUAGAGUCAGAGACUGUUUGUUAAUGAUCAUGGACUCAUGAUAAAAAGGUUAUAAAUUUCAAAACUUAUACAAUGCAACAAUGAAUAAUUUAUUAAAUUAUGAAUUGCUGAUUGUGCAAACACUGUUACCGGAUUGUUGGAAUUUUCCAUCAUAUCUGUUUGAAAUUAAAAACAGCAUUGCUUUCAACCUCUAUUUUUUUAUUUUUAAAGUCACUAUAUGGGCAUUACCUUUCCUUUUCAAACACUUCAAAGAAAACCAGGACUUCAUGUGUUUUGGAAAGAUUUUCCUGAGACCUACGAUUUAAAGUGUCAAAAUGAGACAAUCUCAUGCAAGCCAGGAUGGUUAGUCACCCUACUGAGAAAUUUCUAUAUUAAUAUCCAUCUAUAUGGUAACAACUAUUAUCUAUAUGGUUUAAUGUAAGUUUAAUACUCAAGUUUUUAUUAAAUAACAUUAUAGGAAUUAUAAUAUUAUAGGAAUUCAUUAGUUGAAUCUUCCCAUGGAAUAUUGACCUACAUAUCUAAUAUACAACUGAAAUUAAUUUCUCAGAGAUGGCAAAAUCCUUUGCUCCUGUUCUCUUAUGUUAAUUAUACUUUAG